CAGAGGUCCCAAGCGUUGUUCGGAUUCACUGGGCGUAAAGGGUGCGUAGGUGGCCAGGUAAGUUUGGUGUGAAAGCUCGGAGCUUAACUCCGAAAAGUCAUUGAAUACUAUCUGGCUGGAGGGUCGGAGGGGAGACUGGAAUUCUCGGUGUAGCAGUGAAAUGCGUAGAUAUCGAGAGGAACACCAGUGGCGAAGGCGAGUCUCUGGACGACUCCUGACACUGAGGCACGAAAGCCGGGGGAGCAAACAGGAUUAGAUACCCUGGUAGUCCCGGCUGUAAACGGUGCACGUUUGCUGUAAGAGGAAUCGACCCCUUUUGUAGCGAAGCUAACGCGCUAAACGUGCCGCCUGGGGAGUACGGUCGCAAGAUUA
rnacentral:rRNA from 1 species